GUCCAAUCAGGGACUUUAAUAAAACGAAGCCUGCCAGCCCAGGGCGCUACCCAUUCGCUGCGCGCGGAAGACCGAGAGUUCACGCCGGGGACAAGGGCGACCCGGCCGGGGGUGGGUGGGGAGUGGGGGGUGGGAUUCCCAACCCACCGGGGCUGCGGGCCCCCUUUCAUGGCGCCUUUUGUUGGGCUCGCCCUGGCGCGGGAGUGGCGCGAUCAGGUGCUUGGCCACGAGCCGGGCAAGCGGGGUCCCUGCCCAGGACGGACGGCGCGCUGCCGUGGGUGGAGCUGUCCCACAGGGGCCGGGCCACACCCACUCUGUGAGUCUCUCGCAGUGAUUAUGACGGAAGGAAGACAUACCAGAACCAAGUGCUGGCUCAGAGGUGUGGACCUAGUCUUGAAGCCCUGUGAUGAACAGAAUCUGUUUCCAGUGUCUCUUGGGUAAGCUGUUUGGGGAGAGUAUCUUGGGGCAGGUGACCAGGAGCCUGAACCUUGGGACAAAGUCCUCCUGAGGCUCCAGUCACUGAGGCGCAGGACUCGCUCUGACUGCUCCAGGUUCUGAAUUCUGGUGUUGGGAAGCUUGUCAGGGCCUCAGCAGUUACUUGCCUGUCCAGAUCAAGCUGCAAUUUUCCCGUCGUCCCUCUUGCCUCCCUUGCUGUUGGCAAAGCUGGAAAAGAAAGAGUAUGAGCCUGUGUCCUUCAUACAGAAAGUGUGUGGCGCACGUGGCCCUACUUGGUACCCAACCAUUUCCCUGGAGGAAGAAGGACUGAGUGUUUUAUCAAUUACACCUGCUGUUUUAGCAGCUGCUAUGGGCUGGCAAUGAGAUGGAUUAUGCCAUUUAAUUCUCUUUUUAAAAAGGUUUAUUUAUUUAUUUGAAAGGCAGUUACAGAUGAGGGGAGGAAGAAAAGGGGAGAGAGAGAGGGAGGAAGGGAGGGAGGAAGGGAGAGAGAGAUCUUCCAUCAUGCUAGUUCUCUUCCCAAAUGGCUGCAACGGCCAGGGCUGCACGAAGCCAAAGCCAAGAGUCCAGAGCUCCAUCCCGGUCUCUCACAUGGGUGCAGGGACGCAAGCACGGAGCCACCUUCCGCUGCUUUCCCAGGUGCAUUAGCAGGGAGCUGGAUCGGAAGCGGAGCUGCUGAGACUGCACCUGGUGCUCCCAUCAGGGACGCCAGGACUGCUGGCGGCUUAAACAGCUGUACCGCAACACCUGCAGGGACUGGGUGCUGUCGGGCCUGAAGCAGGAGAAGGCUCCCGCUACAAACCCGGGUCCCUGAGAGGGGGAGGUCAGUCUGAGCGCUGGCUGCGAUGGCUCCCGAGAUCUCUCUGGGUGUGCCCCCUCCUCAUUCCACCCCCAGGGCUCUCACACACCUCUGUUACCUGAUGGCCACAGGAACCAAUGAGAUAGAUUGUUUUCCCCUGAGUCUCAUCUUGAGGGUCCCGGAUGUUCACGACACCUCUUAAAGGCAUCCAGUAAGUGGCAGGACCAGAGACAGUGCUCUUUGCCUUGUGUGUGUGUGUGUGUGUGUGUGUGUGUGUGUGUGUUGGGGGGCAAGGGGAAUGGGGCCAGAUAGGAGUCUCAUUAGCAUCACCGCAGGAACUUUAUAGUGUAGGAGCCCGAACCUGUCCCUAGAAGUUCUGAUUUUAUAGGUCUGGUGUGGGUCUAGGGAGUCUUUAUUCAAACUCAAUAAAAAUAUACUUCUAAGGCUGACCUUUCUUCA
ensembl:lncRNA